CCUACGGGCGGCAGCAGUGAGGAAUAUUGGUCAAUGGGCUUACGCCUGAACCAGCCAAGUCGCGUGAGGGAAGACUGCCCUAUGGGUUGUAAACCUCUUUUGUCAGGGAGCAACGCCGGCUACGUGUAGCCGGACUGAGAGUACCUUAAGAAAAAGCAUCGGCAAACUCCGUGCCAGCAGCCGCGUUAAUACGGGGGAUGCGAGCGUUAUCCGGGUUUAUUGGGUUUAAAGGGUGCGUAGGCGCAAGGCCAAGUCAGCGGUAAAAUCGCGGGGCUCAACCUCGGUCCGACGUUGAAACUGGAGUGCUUGAGUGGGCGAGAAGUAUGCGGAAUGCGUGGUGUAGCGGUGAAAUGCAUAGAUAUUACGAAGAACUCCGAUUGCGAAGGCAGCAUACCGGAGCCCAACUGACGCUGAAGCACGAAAGCGUGGGUAUCGAACAGGAUUAGAUACCCGUGUAGUC
rnacentral:rRNA from 1 species